rfam:[Eubacterium rectale] ATCC 33656 chromosome, complete genome.
CAUAUAAAAGGGCACACUUAUGGAAACGUAAGGUCGCAAAGCUAGAGUCUAACACGGAGUAACAUUUAUGUAAUGACAGAUCGGCUGCAACA